AUUUCCACCAAGUGACUCAGGUUUGAGUUACGGUGGAGCUCGAGCUUCAAUUAAAUACUAAGAUAUGAAUAAUUGAGAGGGAGUGUACCCUGACGGUCUGGACACAAAAUUUGAAAGUGGCAGUUGGUCCUCUGACCCUCGAUGAUACUAGGAUGACGUACUCAUCUGUUAGGUUCGUCUAUAUAGUGGGAAAGAGGCCGCUCAUUCAUCUAAAUUCAACUCUGAAUCGAAUAUUCUUCAGUAAAGAUUGGGAUCUUAUGGUCACAUCUAGGGG
rnacentral:lncRNA from 1 species